rnacentral:tRNA from 1 species
UUAGCUCAGUGGUAGAGCAGUUGGCUUUUAACCAAUUGGUCGAAGGUUCGAAUCCUUCA